rnacentral:rRNA from 1 species
GCGAAAACUUUACAAUGCUGGCAACAGCGAUAAGGGGACCUCGAGUGCCAGGUUACAAAUCUGGCUGUCGAGAUGCCUCAAAAGCAUUUCAUAGCAAGGGCCGGGCAAGAACGGUGCCAGCCGACGCGGUAACACAGGCGGCUCGAGUGGUAACCGUUAUUAUUGGGUCUAAAGGGUCUGUAGCCGGCCGGAUAAGUCUCUUGAGAAAUCUGGCAGCUUAACUGUCAGGCUUUCAGGAGAUACUGUCUGGCUCGAGGCCGGGAGAGGUGAGAGGUACUUCAGGGGUAGGGGUGAAAUCUUGUAAUCCUUGAAGGACCGCCAGUGGCGAAGGCGUCUCACCUGAACGGACCUGACGGCAAGGGGCGAAAGCUAGUGGCACGAACC